rnacentral:rRNA from 1 species
AUGGCUGCAGCUACUACAAGUCGGCCUAGCGGCCCGGUCCUGUCCAUACCCAGCUACCGCUCCGCCUCGCCCACCCGCGUCAAGCUCGCCGGCAGCAGCGGCCCCACCCGCUCGCCGGGCAAGUCCGUCAGCGUCUCGUCCCCGCCCUCCACCAGGAGCCGGCGGUCCUGCAUGUGCUCCUCGACAAACCACCCUGGCUCGUUCCGGUGCAGCCUCCACAAGGAGCGCAAGCAGGCGUCCCCCGCCGUGAGCAGCAAGCCGGCCUCCCCGCCGUCCAUCCGCAGUAGCUGCAGCCUGGGCUCGAAGCGCAUGGAUAGCGCUCAGUGUGCCCGCAGAACCCUCGUGCCGUCCCCCGCAGCGCAGCAGUCACAGCACCGGAGGCGCGCGGGCGGGUUCCGCCCCAGGCCCAGCCGGCUCUCAGCCGUCUCGGUGGCCGGCGAGCGUCCAGGCGACAACCAGUAA